GACCUGAUAGCACAUGGUGUGCACCUGCAACUAGUAGCAUGUUGGCCAAUGUUGAUAACUUGCAUCAGGAUCCCCGUUCGAUUCGGGGUUGGGUCA